AGCCCGCCCGGCCCGGAAGGUCGCGCCUGGCUCUCGUCCGCUGGAAAACCUAGUGCGCCGCCUCCAGCUCCUGCGAUUCUCCCUCUCCUCCAUCUUCUCUUUCGGCUUUCCCUCCCAGUCCACUCCGCUGGAGUAGCGCCGCCGGUGGAGUGCGGGCUGCCGGCGAGCCGGCGAACAGCGCAGCGGCCAGCCCUCAGCGAGAGCGCCGCCGCCGAUGGAGCGCGAGAACCAGCCGAGCGCGCGCGGGUGGCGCCGCCGGCGGAGCGCCGUCGGCCGGUGGAGCGCCGGCCGCCUAGGCGCAGGUACUCCCUAUGUCCUCCACCCUCCUCAGCCCCACCUAUUCUUCUCUGUGUAUCCUCCGGCAGGCUCCGCCUCCUCCAGCCCAUGUCUCCUCCCUCUCCCAGCCGCCACCUCGCGCACCUCUCCUCGCCCACGACGCGGCCCCUCCCGCUCUCCUCCUUCGCGUUGAGGCUGGCCAUCGUUCCCUUGCGCCGCCAUCCGCGGCCUCAACUCGUCGGCGAGCUCUCUAACCGUCGCCGGCGAGUUCGUCCUCAUCUCCUCCUCUCCGAUUUGCACGAGGUGGUUGGUCGAAAUCCACGUGGCUGUGGGGGCUCGGGAGGAGUGGUGCCUAUGAGAUUUCGCGGGUAUGGGCGAUUUCCUGGCCAGGAUGCUCCUCCUCGCUGUCGAUCUGGCCGACGGCAGGGCGGUUGGUUCAUCGUGAAGAACGGCCGUCGGAGCUCCUGACCUCCGCCCCCUACUGACGCCAAAGGACGGUUCCUUUAUCUCCCUCUCUCUAUAUAUUUCGCGUAUCCUCCUUUUUUAGUUAAGCAGCACAGUGCUUCUGGCUAUGCCCCUGAUUAUACAUGAUACCACCUAUUUCUUUCUCUCAUCAAUUUAAUUUUUUGUCCAUAGUUCUAUGCUUUAAAUCGGUUGAGAAAUCUAGCAGUUUUAUACAGAUCUGCUCUAAUACUGCCCAACUUCUCAGUUUUCAAAUUGCUUGCGGUGAAGAUUCGGUUAAGUGUAAUCUUCAGUCUCUGUAUUUGGAAAUUGCCUACUGCAAGGUCACGGUCCAUUUGCACCCAAUAGUUUGGCUCUAUUAUGCAUUUUUCGAUUCACCUUCCGAAGAUUCGAUUUGUUUGGCUCUAUUAUGCAUUUUUCUCUUAGGAUUUGAUUCUUUCUAUUUAAACCUUGUUUGUUCCUGUCCCCGACCAUGGUAUUGUCAUCUUCUUGUUUUUUAAGCUUUGCCCCUUCCUGUUCGAUUUUGGAGGCGUUCCUUUUGUUUCUAUCUCCUUCUGAGAUUUAGUCUUCUUCUUGUUCUUUUCGUCUUAUUCUGAAAUGCUGUCUUGAAGCGUUUUGGGUGAACUUCUGGUUCCCUUUAGAUCUCACAUCUUCCGCGGCUCUUCCAUUUCUUUUUUUGCAGGUCAACAUCUUGCUGGGGAUUUACAGCUUGGGUGGAUGCGGCUGCUUUCCUCGGUUCACUGUUCAGUUGUGUUGGUGGCUAUUUGGCCUCAAAGUGGCAAUCACCGCCCUAUAGAAGAGAAUUUCCAGGAGUUUUUGGUUGUUAGGUAUGAGCUCACUCCCUUUCUUCCUUGCUGUUGCACGAGGAAAUGAGUGGCAUGUUGCUGCUGAUGCUAUGUUGUUGGCUAUUAGAUUUGUUGCUAUGGAAUCAACAUGCUAUGUCAGUGUCACACAUCUGCAGAAUGAUUGGAGUGGUUCAAAUGUUUUGGAAACUAGAUGUCUUUCUACUACAGAAAAUUCAAACUAUUAAGGGCAGAACUACUUCCGUUCUUGUGUUUUCCAUGGUGUGAUUAUACCAUGUUUUGUCGUUUUGCUGACAACAUCACGCUGCUUGGGAUGAUCGUGGCGUCACUAGCUGGAUGAGAUUUAAGCUCAGGACAUGCCGCAGCGCUAAGGCACUCUCCAGUACCACUUUAGAAGUAGGUUCACUCAGCUUCUUUAGAAGUUCACUGUCCAUUUCAUUGCUACAAAAGAUGCAUUGGAUCAUCUGUUCAGUUUAGUAGGACAAGAUUACUGUGAUAGCAAGUUAGGCUCCUUUUAUAUCCGCUCCAAAUUUCCCCUUAGGUAGCUCUUACGAGUAGUAAUCCAUUGUCACUUUUUUUUGUGUUACCUUUUGUUGUACCAUGGCUUGGAGUGGGGAAGAUUAUCUUUUGAAACUUGCAACUGAUUUCUGGGAGAGCUUGGAGAAGUACUCAUUGAUUAAACUGUUUUCCAUUAGAUUCGACUUUUUGACGAAAUGUUCCUUCUAAUUCAGAAUAGUGCUACCUUUUAUGCCCUACUUUAGUUUUCUAGAUUGGUCCAAAGUUAAUAAUUUGUUAACCUAAGAUUUGAAACAUAUUCCUGAAAUAAAAUCAUGAGUUCACUUGCUACCGGAUGAAGCAGAAGAUAUAUAGGUGGGGCAUUGUCACCGACCCCAAGACGACAACAGGUGGCGACCAUCGUACCCGAGAUUGUUGCUUCUAAAAAAACUGAUAUGUGAUGCCAGUUUUUUUUCCUGCUCAUUAUCUUUCUCUCUGGCUCCAAGCCACCUCUGACAAAAUGCUGGUGUUCCAUUGCCAUGCCGCGAGAGAAGGCUUCGGAUUUCAAGAGGGUGUGGAGGCGUGAGGGUGCUGAGCAGCACACCAACAACACAAGCAACCAAAGGAGGCCGACGAGGAGAAGGUUUAGCGCCAAAAUUUAGGGCCCAUGUACCAUUUGGUGCGGCGGUGCUCCAGCAGUGCUGACAAAUUGGUGGCCUUGGCGCCUUACUGCUUAGGGUUUAUGGUGGUAUUUGUUGGUAUUUUUGUUAAUCCUUGAGGUGCUUAGGAAAGUAAUAGCGAUUAUGGAGGAGAUGGGGUCGAUGCAGAGCUUCAUACUAAUUUCCAUUAGGUUGCUUUCUUCUUUUCUUCCAAAUUUAUUGACCUGUCAAGUUUACCAAUGACGCUUCUAGGCAUGAGUUUUGGACGAUUUUCUUAUUAUGCUUUUGACAGACUUUACCA